rnacentral:rRNA from 1 species
UAAGUAGACCGCCUGGGGAGUACGGCCGCAAGGUUAAAACUCAAAUGAAUUGACGGGGGCCCGCACAAGCGGUGGAGCAUGUGGUUUAAUUCGAUGCAACGCGAAGAACCUUACCUGGUCUUGACAUCCACAGAACUUUCCAGAGAUGGAUUGGUGCCUUCGGGAACUGUGAGACAGGUGCUGCAUGGCUGUCGUCAGCUCGUGUUGUGAAAUGUUGGGUUAAGUCCCGCAACGAGCGCAACCCUUAUCCUUUGUUGCCAGCGGUCCGGCCGGGAACUCAAAGGAGACUGCCAGUGAUAAACUGGAGGAAGGUGGGGAUGACGUCAAGUCAUCAUGGCCCUUACGACCAGGGCUACACACGUGCUACAAUGGCGCAUACAAAGAGAAGCGACCUCGCGAGAGCAAGCGGACCUCAUAAAGUGCGUCGUAGUCCGGAUUGGAGUCUGCAACUCGACUCCAUGAAGUCGGAAUCGCUAGUAAUCGUGGAUCAGAAUGCCACGGUGAAUACGUUCCCGGGCCUUGUACACACCGCCCGUCACACCAUGGGAGUGGGUUGCAAAAGAAGUAGGUAGCUUAACCUUCGGGAGGGCGCUUACCACUUUGUGAUUCAUGACUGGGGUGAAGUCGUAACAAGGUAACCGUAGGGGAACCUGC